rnacentral:rRNA from 1 species
UACGGGGGGGCGGAAGCGUUGUUCGGAAUUACUGGGCGUAAAGGGCUCGUAGGUGGCCAACUAAGUCAGACGUGAAAUCCCUCGGCUUAACCGGGGAACUGCGUCUGAUACUGGAUGGCUUGAGUUUGGGAGAGGGACGCGGAAUUCCAGGUGUAGCGGUGAAAUGCGUAGAUAUCUGGAGGAACACCGGUGGCGAAGGCGGCGUCCUGGACCAACACUGACACUGAGGAGCGAAAGCCAGGGGAGCAAACAGG